AUCUCACCCAUCAUGACCUCAAGGUCCUUCUUUGAGGGAUCUUGCCAGGAAGUUCAGUUGGCAGGAUGGCAGCAGCAGACACACAGGGUGGUUAAGAACAACAAACACAGGUAACAUCUGCUGAAGGCUUCUACAAGCUGAGCACUAACAGGCAAACCACUUCAAUAGAACAUGGCUGGCGGCCAUAUGGACAUAUUUGAAUCCAACAAUUAAUUCAGCAAAGAAAGCUGCUUGUGGCAAGUUUUGAAUGUGCCAUUCCAGGUAGUGCUUUGAUGAUAAAUGAGGAGAAGAUUGCAAAGAAAAUGACAGCAACAUUUAUAAAAGGGUCUCAUGAAUAUAACACGAUGCCCAGCACAUAGAAAGCAUACAAUAAGUGUUUGUUGGAUAACUGUGGACAGUUCAGUCGACCAGCAAAUUCCUCUUAGGACUCUAGAUGCACGGAGAGUGGCCAGAUUAAUACAGACUGGCAAAAGAAGAACUUGGCAAAGUGAUUUGAUCACACACUUCUCACCCUCACAUCUCCUGACAGUUCCCCUAAUCCCUGCCCCACUUCCCCGCCAUGGGCUUCCAUCAGGAAACUCCUUGAUAUCAUCUUCGAGAAGAAAACUGAGGCAUAGAACAUUUGGGAAUGAAUCUAAGACUACACAUCUAGAAUAGCAGAGUUACAGGAAUGCAGAUGUGAUUCCUAUGGAUGAGGGUAACCUAGAGGCUAGAAGAACAAUAGGACAGAAGAAGCCUGGGUCCCUGAACAACCUUGUGGAGCAUAGACACCUACGUGGCCUGGACUGCCAGCUCACAAUGGGCCUCUCUGUGAGAGAAGGAAACUUCCCUCUUGUUUAAGCAACUGUGCUUUUGAGAAUCUCUUGGUCUAUACCCUAAUGAAUAAGGCCAUCAUAAAUGGAUAUCAAAGUAAGGAAAUUUGUGUAAAUGAUUUAAUAAAACAUUACCUCAGGUAUGAAAUAAUUCUACCUUGUGCCUUGACAACAUCAGGUAUUAUUCAUGCCCUUUUCUCUCCCUGUAAUGUCUCUUAUCCACGGGUAGAAAUUAUAUUUUCCAUCUAAGGUUUGCUCAAAUAUUAUCUACUUAAGUAGCUCUUACCAAUUUUGCCUCUCCUCCUGAGCUGACCCUAUGCCUUCUAUGCUGUUCCAGGUA
rnacentral:lncRNA from 1 species